UGGGGGAUCUUGCGCUAAUGCGCGAAAGCGUGACGCAGCGACGCCGCGUGGGGGAUGAAGGCCCUCGGGUUGUAAACCCCUUUCGGCAGGGACGAAGCGAAAGUGACGGUACCUGCAGAAGAAGUCCCGGCUAACUACGUGCCAGCAGCCGCGGUAACACGUAGGGGACGAGCGUUGUCCGGAUUUAUUGGGCGUAAAGCGCGCGUAGGCGGCUCGGAAAGUCGGUCGUGAAAGGCCGGGGCUCAACCCCGGGACUGCGUCCGAUACUUCCGGGCUGGAGGUAGGUAGGGGAGAUCGGAAUUCCUGGUGUAGCGGUGAAAUGCGCAGAUAUCAGGAAGAGCACCGGUGGCGAAGGCGGAUCUCUGGGCCUUACCUGACGCUGAGGCGCGAAAGCUAGGGGAGCGAACAGGAUUAGAUACCCUGGUAGUCCUAGCCGUAAACGUUGGGUGCUAGGUGUGGGCGGACAUCGACCCCGUCCGUGCCGAAGCUAACGCAUUAAGCACCCCGCCUGGGGAGUACGGCCGCAA
rnacentral:rRNA from 1 species